rnacentral:rRNA from 1 species
UACGAGAGGUGCGAACGUUAUUCGGAUUUACUGGGCGUAAAGGGUGCGUAGACGGUAAAAUAAGUCAACUGUUUAAUUUUUCGGCCUAACCGGAAGUCAGCGGUAGAAACUGUUUUACUAGAGGGUGGAAGAGAGAAGUGGAAUUCUCGGAGUAGCGGUAAAAUGCGUAGAUCUCGAGAGGAACACCGAUGGCGAAGGCAGCUUCUUGGUCCACAUCUGACGUUGAGGCACGAAAGCGUGGGGAGCAAACAGG